GAUGAACGCUAGCUACAGGCUUAACACAUGCAAGUCGAGGGACCAGCGCCCGGGUGAGUAACACGUAUCCAACCUGCCCUUUCCUCGGGGACAGCCUUUCGAAAGUCAGAUUAAUACUCGAUCUUAAGCUGGGGGAUGCGUGCCAUUAGGUUGUUGGCGAGCAAACGGCUCACCAAGCCUUCGAUGGAUAGGGGUUCUGAGAGGAAGGUGCCCCACAUGGGAACUGGAACACGGGCCAAACUCCUACGGGAGGCAGCAGUGAGGAAUAUUGGUGAAUGGGCGCUAGCCUGAACCAGCCAAGUAGCGUGAAGGAUGAAGGCUGAUGGGUCGUAAACUUCUGUUAUAUAAGAAUAGGUAUUAUAUGAAUAAGGAUCGGCUAACUCCGUGCCAGCAGCCGCGGUAAUAC
rnacentral:rRNA from 1 species